UACGAGAGGUGCAAGCGUUAUUCGGAAUUAUUGGGCGUAAAGAGUGCGUAGGCGGUAUGAUAAGUCUGUUGUUAAAUCUCCUGGCUCAACCAGGAAACUGCAAUGGAAACUAUUAUUCUAGAGGGUGAGAGAGAGAAGUGGAAUUCCAGGAGUUAGCGGUCAAAUGCGUAGAUCUCUGGAGGAACACCGAUGGCGAAGGCAGCUUCUUGGCUCAUUUCUGACGCUGAGGCACGAAAGCGUGGGGAGCAAACAGG
rnacentral:rRNA from 1 species